rfam:Nelumbo nucifera unplaced genomic scaffold scaffold00031, whole genome shotgun sequence
ACUUAGGUGUCAUUAGACACCACAUCAGCAAAAUAGUGAAUAAAUAU